rnacentral:lncRNA from 1 species
CCCGGAAAAUUUUGGCCAGAAACUUUUUGUCAUUUGGCAGAUUUGGAGUCCUUUACCAAAACUUAAAUAAAACGAAAUCUGUAACUCCGAUUAAUGAUCCGUCAAUUUUAUUCGAUUCGUAACUUUCCGAAUUACAAUUUUCAUAUAUCACAAUCCAUAUUUGGAUAGGCUUAGCUCCCGGAAUUUAUCCCGGAAGUGGCUGUUACAAACUGUCCUUCUAACAGUUUUUCUUAACUUUGUGUAGUUUGGUAAAAAUCCCAUAACUUGCUCCUCCGAUAUCGGAUUUAGUCCGUUUCGGAGUCUAUGGAAAGCUUAUUGAGUGUAAUAUAACAUAUCACAAGUCCAGAAUUUUUAGAGCACCCUAACAAAUCCGAAAUUUUCUGUUUAGGGCAGCAGUCCACUAAUUCAUUUAAAAAAAAAAAACUGUUUUGGUUCAUCUUCUUUGUUCAAGCUUAUCAACCCUAAAAAUGGCAAGAUCUAACCAU